UACGUAGGGGGCAAGCGUUGUCCGGAUUUAUUGGGCGUAAAGAGCGUGUAGGCGGCCAGGUAGGUCAGCUGUGAAAACUCGAGGCUUAACCUCGAGACGCCGGCUGAAACCCUCUGGCUAGAGUCCGGAAGAGGAGAGUGGAAUUCCUGGUGUAGCGGUGAAAUGCGCAGAUAUCAGGAAGAACACCAAUGGCGAAAGCAGCUCUCUGGGACGGUACUGACGCUGAGACGCGAAAGCGUGGGGAGCGAACAGG
rnacentral:rRNA from 1 species